rnacentral:rRNA from 1 species
UAGGGAAUCUUCCACAAUGGACGCAAGUCUGAUGGAGCAACGCCGCGUGAGUGAAGAAGGUUUUCGGACCGUAAAGCUCUGUUGUUGGUGAAGAAGGAUAGAGGUAGUAACUGGCCUUUAUUUGACGGUAAUCAACCAGAAAGUCACGGCUAACUACGUGCCAGCAGCCGCGGUAAUACGUAGGUGGCAAGCGUUGUCCGGAUUUAUUGGGCGUAAAGCGAGCGCAGGCGGAAGAAUAAGUCUGAUGUGAAAGCCCUCGGCUUAACCGAGGAAUUGCAUCGGAAACUGUUUUCUUGAGUGCAGAAGAGGAGAGUAGAACUCCAUGUGUAGCGGUGGAAUGCGUAGAUAUAUGGAAGGAUACCAGUGGCGAAGGCGGCUCUCUGGUCUGCAACUGACGCUGAGGCUCGAAAGCAUGGGUAGCGAACAGGAUUAGAUACCCUGGUAGUCCAUGCCGUAAACGAUGAGUGCUAAGUGUUGGGAGGCUUCCGCCUCUCAGUGCUGCAGCUAACGCAUUAAGCACUCCGCCUGGGGGAGUACGACCGCAAGGUUGAAAC